ACAAACCGAAAAUCUGAAGCCAGCUAAUAGCUAGCUAAAGCCAGUAAAACGACACAGAAAGUAUUUUGAAAGCUUUCUAAUUCAACAGAGAAACAAAGAAACCGUUAUGUAAGUCAGAUGUUGAUCCGUCUUCAAUAAAAUAUCCGUUACUUUGAACAUUUUGCUAAUAUCUUAGUUAGCUGUAGAAAAUGCCUUACUGGAUCUGCUGUAACUCCUGCUUCAACCUCCCUGGUCCUGACUGCCAACUAGCUGUUGCCAGCUGUGGUCAUCUCAUCUGCAACGUGUGUUUUCAGAAAGGCAAACAAGGGGAAUGCAUGAUAUGUAAAGCAAAAUGUCAAGUUACUCCUCUCUCAGACAAAAGUAGUGCAGAAGUGAAGGCCCUCUUCUCUGACAUCAAUUCUGUUGCAACCAAACACUUCACAGAGAUAAGCAAGGUGUUACUAUUCCAGGCAAGGCACCAAAAGAGGCUGUUGGUGCAUUACCAGAAGAGGAAUGAAAAGUUAGAAGACGUUUUACUCAAGAUGAAGCAAGAAAUUCAGCAAAUGUCCAAAAAAAUUACUGCGCAGAAUGCAUAUAUUGCCAAGCUGGAGAACACUCUUCAGCAUCAAAGGGCAGAAAACAUUGAAGUGGAUGGCAGGGGUCUGUUUAGGAAAGUAUGUGAACCUUUUCAAUUCAAAUAUGGUUCAUUUUGACAUUGAAUUAUUGCACUAUAAAUGCUUACUUUGUUUAAUAUUAAAUUAGAUGUUUACCCUGAAUCCAAAUCGUUAUUUGAUGUUUGUGCCAGUGAUGAAGGCUACAGCAUACUGAAACGGUCAUUGGUUUUAAUGAUAGAAACGUAUGUUUGUACAAACUGAAGUCUUCCUCUCCAUUGAACAGCCGGAGAUCUCUGGAAGUGUCCAAAGGCUGGCCUUCAUCAGUCCUCCACAGGAUGGCUGUGUAAUAAACAUGAAGGGAGACAGAGAGUUGGUUUCAAGCACAGGGCGCAGCAGGUGUUUAUUGCAAAGGACUACAGGAGGAGGCAGGUAGCUGGGUCCAGGGGCAGACAGGUGGUCAUACACAGGGGGUCCAAAAUGGCAACAGUACAGGCAGGGAAAAGGCUAGUAACAUAGUCAAGCAGAUCAGGCACUAGGUAGAUAACAGGAAAUCCAAUAAGCUAAAGUAAAGGCAGGGAAUAGACAAAAGGCGUCGUUAGUGAGGCAGGCAAAAACUAUCAUACACAGGAUGUGUAAAUCACAGGAAACCCAGCGCUCUGAAAGAUGUGCUUCACAAAAUAAACAAUACCUCACAGUGAUGGGGUGCAAAGAACUGAACUAAAUGGUGUGUGGUCAUGACAUACAGGUGUGUAAACAGGUGAUUAGAAUUCAGGUGAUUGGGAUCUGGAGAGUGAGCUGCGUUCAGGGGAUCUAGGUGUUUGAGAGUGUGAGCUGGAAAGUGGGCUGGAAAGUGAGCUGUGUUCAGGGGAUCUACGUGUUUGAGGGUGUGAGUUGGAAGCAGAAGUUACAGGUUGGAUGGGUACAUCUGCUAUACCACUGUACACACACAAAUAAUUGUUCUAUAUAGUGCCAAAUAAUGGUUCUUUGGUUUGUAACUAUAGUGGAUCCCUUUUUGUUGCUGUUCCCUUUUUUGAAAGUUCUAGAUGGAACUUCUGUGGUGCUAUAAAUAACUUUUUAAUAAGGGAAAAAUCUAAGAACCUUUUGAAGAACUAUAAAGUUUUUAAAAAAUCUGGUUAGCCAUAUUGUAUAUCCAUAGGGUGUUAUUAUUGUAUUAAUUCACAAGUUGAAUCAGGUAGGCUAGCUCUGGAACGGCUGUGGAUCCCCGAAGAGAGAAUUGAGAACCACUGAUUUAGUCAACUGUUCUCAAUUGACAUAAGGCCUUGCAAUAACAUAACACAACAGAUUAGAUCACUGGAAUGACGCUCUCACUCACGGUUGCACAAAAGAGCUGUGAGCAAAUCACGUCCCAAAAUAUUCUAAUGAGCUACCGCCCCUACAAUUUAAUUAUCGCUAAAGUCAUUAUGGAUCACCCUUACCAAAGAACCCUAGAGAACAGUUGACUAAAUUAGUGGUUUUCAAUUCUCUCUUUUCUAAGUGUGUACUCUACUCAUAGACAGUCAGACAGAUAGAUACCCGUGGAGCUGUUCACUGCUAACAUAAGAGCACAACGCUUCAAUGUAUUCAACUUCUGUAUGUUUCCGUUUGUGGUUAGUAGACUCUUCUAUGAGUCUGACUGUAAGCACUAUAUGUGAGUUUUAGCAUUCGAUAUUUAGGGUGUUGCUGAACUUGUGGUGUAUACAUUCUAAAUAUUGUAUCUUUAGGUACCGUCUUAGAUCGAUCGACCAAUCAGAACACCCUGGUCAACCACUCAGCCAUCUGGCAGAGAUGCAAAUGACCCCUAACCUGCCUUAUUGUAGGGACACCGGGUGGGAGACGCCCAUAUUCAAGCCCCCGUCGGCCUACGGACACCCCUUCAUGUCCUCCCUGUCCAUGUCCUCUCUGGGGGCCACCUGCCCUCCGCCAAGCGCCAGCCAUCAUGAUGGCACAUGGAGACAUCUCUGAUCCACUUCAAUGCUCUGCACGAGUGACUUAGCUGUAGUAUCAAGUCACUUGGUAAUGGUUUAACUCUUCACUGUGGAGAGAUGAGCUGUGGAAUAGGAAUUAUUGGUCUGAAAUUGAAUCCACUACACAGGGUUAAGAAGAGGUUUGAAGCUGUUGGGUGUGUUUGUACUGUUGCGUGUACAUUGUCAUUUUAAUGGCUACAUACAGUAUUAUUUCAUUGGUUCAAUGAAGUUUGUCACAAUAACAAAUACAUUUUUUCUCUCAGUCAUGAAUUGGCCAGUAAGACACUGAAAUCACAAAAUCUGUACUGUAACUACUGUACCCCUGAGUCAUCAAUCAUUAACAAACUACUCAUCUGAUUGCCAUGUUUAGAGGUUGUGAUUUGCAGUAUAAUUUGCUGACAAAAAGUUAUGCUCCCUAUCCUUUCAAUGCAUUUGUCCACAAAAGUUAGGUAAACUGGCAAGCAAAAAAAAAAUAUGGGGUAAACGUUUACCCUACACUACUGUUCAGGCUCAGUUGCCUUACUGACACCAGCUACCUGUGAUGUGAACCAGUGGCCAGUGGGUGACACUAUAAUCCACUAUGCUACCAUGGACUCAGCCUCUGAUUUCAACACUUUUCUUUAGGGGAGAAUUUGAAUACAACUUUUGGGGAUAAGGAUCUACAUUGUGGAUUUGUUGUAUUUGGAAGAAUAUAUAUUGCCUCUAGGGUGGUCUAUGAGUAAAAAGAGGAGCAGGUAAAGGGUGGGGUGGUUGUGGCGGGCCCACUCAUGUUCUGUUAGUCACACACUCACACAGAUGUCCCGCAUGUGAAGGGCCUUUGAAGGCCCUGACUCCAUCCCAUGCUUGAGUGAUGUCAGCGGGGCUGUGGAAAGAUUCCUUUCCUGUCAGACAGCUUGGCAGGAUGUUUGAAGAAAGGCCGAAAGACAACACCGAGAUUAGGCCGCUUUUGUCACGGCUCCAUGGCAGACUUUAAAGGCCUUUUGGCUACUUUCCCAUCACACAGAUUUCUUUUCUCUUCUCUCUGCAUCCCUCUCUUUUCACCAGCAAGGUAAACAUUUGGGUAAACCACGACCUCUUUAGCUUUUUUGUGUCUUUUUUAUUUUCCCGGUUUUAAAUGAUAACUUUGUUGAUGUGUAGGCCAUUCUGAAUGUCAUUGUGAAAAGAAGGAGGUAUGCAAACAGAGGGGUUUAUUCUCUGCCAGGUAUUCACAGGUGUGUCCUUCAUGGAUGCAGACUUCAUUCACCUGAUGCUUCCUUUCAGUGAGGACCAGUAAAGACCUCUGGACACUUUUUCAUCACCACAAUACAAUUGGUAUUUGCACAAGUGCACAGGAAUCUGGUACAUGGGUUCACACACUUUCUUCAGCACAUUUGAUUGUUAAACAUUUUAAUCAAAGCAUGUCCACCAUCAGUAUCAAAAUAUAUUAGUGAUUUGGUUUUAAAGCGACAUAAUGUCACUGAUUGUUCCAGAAUGAGACAAUUCUCAUUGAUGCCUCCUCUUCACUCUGUCGACCUCAUUGACCAGCUGUGAACUCAACACCAAUGUCUUUCAACAGCACAGGUCUGCAUGAGUCAUCCUGCUGGGAGCUUCUCAAAUCUGAGUCCGUACGUAAAACUUAGAACAAAAAUACUGAGACAGCUAGAUUAACUGUUGCUCUGACUACCCCAUCUUUUAACAGCAAAAAUGCAUUUUAAAUAGUACAUUCAAGUUUUCAAUGACCUCGGUUUCCAUGUUUAAAUUUUGUUUAGAAAAUUUAGAAAAUAUUUAUUUUCAGAAGUUUGAAGUAACGAAUUAGAACUGCUCUUGUUCCUGUAAUUGAGUAGCUUUUCAGAGUAUUUUUCAAAGUCAGUAAUUGUACUUCUACUUGAGGAAAAAUGAUUUAAAAUGGCAGUAUUUAAAGGUCCCCCAAGAGGAAGUUGCCGCCACUAUUACAACGUAAUUUCAUGUACUGGAGAGGAAAUGUGGGGAUUUCCACAUGGAGUUGAUAAACAUAAACAAAUAGGGCACUGACAGCUUCCAGUAUAGCGAGCAUAACCUUAUCUAGUUAGCUAAUGUUAUGUUGUUGCUGCUUUUUAUUCUUAUUCAAAAGAUUAGCCAGCUGGCUCUAUGGCUGUUUCUGAAGCUGCUUCAAGGCAAGGGGUGGCUACUUUGAAGAAUCUCAAAUAUAAAAUAUAUUUAGAUUUUUUUGAACAAUGUUUUGGUUACAACAUGAUUCCAUGUGUGUUAUUUCAUAGUUUUGAU